UACGUAGGGGGCAAGCGUUGUCCGGAUUUACUGGGCGUAAAGAGCGUGUAGGCGGCCACGCAGGUCCGUUGUGAAAACUGGAGGCUCAACCUCCAGCUGUCGACGGAAACCGUGUGGCUAGAGUCCGGAAGAGGAGAGUGGAAUUCCUGGUGUAGCGGUGGAAUGCGCAGAUAUCAGGAAGAACACCCGUGGCGAAGGCGGCUCUCUGGGACGGUACUGACGCUGAGACGCGAAAGCGUGGGGAGCAAACAGG
rnacentral:rRNA from 1 species